rnacentral:rRNA from 1 species
UACGAAGGGGGCUAGCGUUGUUCGGAUUUACUGGGCGUAAAGCGCACGUAGGCGGAUUGUUAAGUGAGGGGUGAAAUCCCAGGGCUCAACCCUGGAACUGCCUUUCAUACUGGCAAUCUCGAGUCCGGAAGAGGUGAGUGGAACUCCUAGUGUAGAGGUGGAAUUCGUAGAUAUUCGCAAGAGCACCAGUGGCGAAGGCGGCUCACUGGCCCGGUACUGACGCUGAGGUGCGAAAGCGUGGGGAGCAAACAGG